GUAAUCGGUUCGGCAGCACAUGUACUGUAUGUGGGUCGAUACAGAGUAGAUUAGCAUGGCCCCUGCGCAAGGAUGCCACGCCAAUCAUGAGGUGUUCCCUAUUUUC